rnacentral:rRNA from 1 species
GAUGAACGCUGGCGGCGUGCUUAACACAUGCAAGUCGAACGGAAAGGCUCCUGCUUGCAGGGGUACUCGAGUGGCGAACGGGUGAGUAACACGUGGGUGAUCUGCCCUGCACUUCGGGAUAAGCCUGGGAAACUGGGUCUAAUACCGGAUAGGACGAUGGUUUGGAUGCCAUUGUGGAAAGUUUUUCGGUGUGGGAUGAGCUCGCGGCCUAUCAGCUUGUUGGUGGGGUAAUGGCCUACCAAGGCGUCGACGGGUGGCCGGCCUGGGGGGGUGUACGGCCACAUUGGGACUGGGGAACGGCCCAGACUCCACCGGGGGGCAGCGGGGGGGAAUAUUGCACAAUGGGCGCAAGCCUGAUGCAGCGACGCCGCGUGGGGGAUGACGGCCUUCGGGUUGUAAACUCCUUUCGCUAGGGACGAAGCGCAAGUGACGGUACCUGGAGAAGAAGCACCGGCUAACUACGUG